UAGUAACCCGGGCUGCCGGUGGUCUUGCAGAGAUUCUGGUUCUGGGGACGGGGGCUCGUACGGAGCGUCUGGAUCCAAACGUGCUGGACUUCCUGAAGAAGAAGGGCAUCGCUGUGGAGGUUCAGGACACGCCUAACGCAUGUGCGACGUUCAACUUCCUGUCCAGCGAGAGACGGUUAGCCGCGGCAGGCCUGAUCCCUCCUCCUGCGGCCGAAUAACAGAGAACAGGACUCUGGGAAGCCAUGUUUUCUCAGUACAGUGUGUCACGUGAUCUCUGACUGUAGUGUGUGUGAGUGGAGAGUGAAUAAACACAGAUUAGAGGUAUUAACACA